rnacentral:lncRNA from 7 species
ACCUCGAAUAGCCAGAAACUAUCGCCAGCAAAGGGAGAACGCCGAGGUGAGAGAGAUAAUGCGGUGGUGGUGCUCAUGGUCGGAUGAAUGGGGGUGUCGAGCUAUGCGCGGUUGACGUCCUCAUCGGAGCAAACCCCUUCACCGUUGGUUGCCUUGUACCGUGGCCUGGGAAGUCGGUGACUGCUCAUCAUGGUAGGAGGCCCCGACCGACCGUGCAACCGUGUGCCGACGCUGUGGCUGUGCGCCAAUGAAAUCACGUGAGGUCGUGAGUCAUCUGAGGAUCAUCCUGGUAACUGGAAUCUCAAGUCCCAGGCAAGUUGUGCCCUUGAUCACUUCUUUUACCCACUCAUGUUCUGAUUAAUCAUAAUGAUCUGCAUAGGUUAAUUUUGAUGGGACCUAGUAGGUUACCCUAGUUUGUCUAUCUUUAUACCUUGUUUACCACUAAACUUUUUGGGUAGUACUUGCUAGUGCUUUAUGUGGUUUUGGGUAUGAAGAUACAUUAUUCAUGAUCACACUUUUAUUAUCUGUUUAUUAUUACUAUUCAUGAUAAGAUCAUUAUGUUAAUUGGAACAUGGAGCGACCACCCGGGAAAACAGUGCUACCACAAGGGUUUAUGGACGCCCUUGGCUGAUUAAUUAGGAAAGCUAGUGGAGGACUACCUUACCCGAAAGGGGCAAGGGCAGUAGGGGAGUGGUCAGUGUAGGGAGGUCCUUGGUUGAUUUUGCUGCGAUGGCGGUCAGGCAAGAACCCUGCAUUGGAGCUUCCUAUAAACUGUAGUGGGUUUUCUAAAGCUAGUGGAACUUUGUAAAGGCCUCGUAGUGUUACCCUGCCUCGCCUCCUCGGUAGAGGUGUAUGGGAAGUCGCGAUCCCUUGGCAGAUGGGUAACAUGACUUGUGGGUAAAGAUGCGCAACCUCUGCAGAGUGUAAAACUGGUAUAUUAGCCGUGCUCACGGUCAUGAGCAGCUCGGACCCUCACAUGAUUAAUUUAUGGAACUUAAAUUCAAUUUGUCAUAUGCAUUGCAUCGCAGGUGAUGUUGUUACUUCUGUUCUACUAUUUAAUCGGGUUGGUAUUUACUUAUACUUAGUAAUUGCUAAUAAAAUUUUGACCAACUUUAAAAGCAAUGCUCAGCUCUAACUAUCCUCUUUGGUAAGCCUUACACUUCACGUGAGCUCCCAUCUUUGGCGAGUUCAUGCAUAUUAUUCCCCACAACUUGUUGAGCGAUGAACGUAUGUGAGCUCACUCUUGCUGUCUCACACCCUCCACAGGUCAAGAACAGGUACCGCAGGAUGAGGCGCAUGAAGGAUGCUGUGAUGUGUUCGUGAGAGAUCUAGGUCGUCGUCUCCCAGUCAACUUUGGGUUGCUGGACCGUUGUCUCCUUAUAAUGUAAUUAUUUAUUUAUUUAUUUUGUACAGAACUCCUAUUAUAUAAUAAAGAUGUGACAUUCGAU